GCAGUAACCACUAGCAUAGAUGACUGGAGGCUCACCACGUGUCAGGCGCUGUGUAAGCCCUUUGCAUGGAUUAUCUCAAUCCUCACAACCCUGUGAGGACAGCAGGAACCUGCUAGUUGGGCUACCUCUGAACUCUCUGGACCUCAGGAACUAGAAGGGCUGCAAGAAACAUUGGUUUGAAGCAUUAUGAAUCCUCCCGGGCUCCCUAGAGCUUUCAGAACCAAGGCCCUUUGGAUCAGCUCACAGGACACAGGAGCUUCAGGAUCUGGUCAACUUCUCCAGGCUCAUCUUGUGCUAGACCCCCACCCACUGCCUUAGCUCCAGACAUUCUGGAUGACCAGCAGUUCCUUGAAUACACUGUGCUCUUCUUACCACUGUUCUGGUCUUUUUAGAUACUUUUGCCUGCCUCAACUGCCCAUUUCCCCUUCAUCAAGUUAAUUCAUCUAUGUCUUUCAAAACUCCACUUAAGCAUCCAGAGCCUUCCCUGACAUCUGCCCCACUCCCUGCUGCCCAUCAUGUGCUCCUCUGUGACUCCCCGGCAUUUUGUGCUCCACAUUUACAAGGCUGUCUCUCCCAUAGACUGGAUGCUUUUCGGAGACAGGGAUCACGUCUUAUUGGACAUUAUCUUCCCAUGAAGCCUAGCACAGAGAGAAAAUACCCAGCGAAUGUUGAAUAAAUUCCUCUUGGAUGACUGCUCA